UACGGAGGGUGCAAGCGUUAUCCGGAUUCACUGGGUUUAAAGGGUGCGUAGGUGGGUUGGUAAGUCAGUGGUGAAAUCUCCGUGCUUAACAUGGAAACUGCCAUUGAUACUACUGGUCUUGAAUUUUCUGGAGGUAAGCGGAAUAUGUCAUGUAGCGGUGAAAUGCGUAGAUAUCAAGAGGAACACCUGAGGUGAAGACGGGUUGCUGGGCUGACACUGACGCUGAGGCGCGAAAGCUAGGGUAGCAAACGGG
rnacentral:rRNA from 1 species